AUGAACAAGUACAUAGCACUUAUUAUCAGGUUGUUCGUCAAGAAACUCCUGUCCAAAUUCCUGAAGCCAGGAGCUUUUAGAGGUGUCAAUGUGGACACAGUGGACCUCAGGGAUGAGGAGAGCCAAUUGCCAGAUUCUCAGCUUGGUGUGGGCUUCACAACGAGGACGUUAAACCGCCUUGUGGAAGCAGGUGAUGUCUCCAUGGACUCAGCUAAAAACUUCCAUCUCGCAGCCAGGAGCUUUUUUGUGAAGGCAGUCGAGUACGCCACAGCUAAGCUCCCUUUACAUGACCCUGUGCUGGAGCAUUCAAGGUUCGUGGACUUCAGACAAAAAAUGGAUACCACCUGGGAUGAUGUGCUCUACUUUGUUCAUAGGUAUGUAUGCAGCCACCUGGGCUGUAGAGUGAUAUUGGUUCAUUCUGAUUCUGUUGCAAAGACCCUUUUCUCAAACCAUUAUAUCUGUUUAGAUUCAACCAUCCCCUGCCCUACAACCAACCAAUGGAGCAGGACCAGCUGAAUGAUGAGUUCCUAGAGUUUCAGAUGAUGGAGGAGGAAGAUAUACCUGCAUCCAUCUGGGGGGACGCGGUCAUCAGGACAAAUGAGGAUGGGGAGUACCACAGGAUGGCCCACCUAUGGGUAUAUCUGGGAAAUCUUAAGAAUCGGGCAAGUGGCACUUUUAAAUUCCCGAAAUUAUUCAAUGUGGCCCAGAUUGUGUUGAGCAUGCCUCACUCAAAUGCGGAUGCUGAGCGAACAUUUUCACUGAUUGGCCUAAACAAGACUGACACCAGGAACAGACUGUCCCUUGAAGGCACCCUGUCGUCAAUCAUGACUAUGGAAAUGAGCAGCCUUGAACCCUGCUACAGAUACGAACCUCCUGCAGAGGUUGUGAAGCAGGCCAAAACUGCCACUGUGGCAUACAACCUAAUAUCUAACUUCUAGCCUCUGCUGAGGAGUGUACACACACACACACACACACACACACACACACACACACACACACACACACACACACACACACACACACACACACACACACACACACACACACACACACACACACACACACACAGCCCCCCACAGCCAGCUCUGGGGAGCUGGGGUAACUAUUGUGCCUUUUUUUGUUUUUGAAAUUUCUGUCUUUAUUCGAGAUGCCUGUCUAUAUUUUGUAAUAGUGCAACCAAUAAAUGAAUAAAUUAACAUUUUGAAAAAGCGUUUCCAUUCUUUAACCUUUUUUCUUAAAUGAGGGUUUAUACUAAGUAAACGAGGACUAUUUAGUAAAAAAAUAAAUAAAAUUAGGGUUAGGGUUGUCAAAAAUAUUCGCCGCUCACGCUAAUAUUUUAGAGUCUCACUCCAGCCAAAGUCCCAAAGUUGGCAACCCUGAUUUAAGGCUUAAUAAAGGGGAUAGGAACAUUUUUGGUCUGCACAGAUCUAAGUAAUGUAUACUUUACAUUUCAGACUAUUUUCCCAAUCAUACCUUUAUUCACACUUUGUGUUGUCAAUUCAUGCUGCUAAAUGUUCAAUAUAAUUAAGUAUCAAUACUGAUACUUAAUUGUCCUCCUGUGGGAGGACAAAGGCUGAGGCAGUGGUUACUGAUGUCCUGGCACCAGG
ensembl:lncRNA